GACGAACGCUGGCGGCGUGCUUAACACAUGCAAGUCGAACGGUGAAGCGCCUUCCUUUUUGGUGGGUGUGGAUGAGUGGCGAACGGGUGAGUAACACGUGAGUAACCUGCCCCCUUCUUCUGGAUAACCGCAUGAAAGUGUGGCUAAUACGGGAUUUUCUGGGUCUGUCGCAUGAUGGGUCUGGGAAAGAUAUUGUUUCGGUGGGGGAUGGGCUCGCGGCCUAUCAGCUUGUUGGUGGGGUGAUGGCCUACCAAGGCGGUGACGGGUAGCCGGCCUGAGAGGGUGGACGGUCACACUGGGACUGAGACACGGCCCAGACUCCUACGAGAGGCAGCAGUGGGGAAUAUUGCACAAUGGGCGCAAGCCUGAUGCAGCGACGCCGCGUGAGGGAUGGAGGCCUGCGGGUUGUGAACCUCUUUCGCCAGUGAAGCAGGCCUGCCUCGUUUGUGGGUGGGUUGACGGUAGCUGGAGAAGAAGCGCCGGCUAACUACGUG
rnacentral:rRNA from 1 species